AUCAGAUUGUUGACAACACACCUUAAAAGUGUAAAGUUCUAAACCAUCUUUUCUAAUUCCACAGCUUAAUCUAGGGUUUCCACACCCUAACCUAACCAUACAUGGAUCGUAACCCUAAAACCCCUACAGAAUCGAAUUCGAUUCCUUCUUCAACCUAGGCUCUCAUUUUAUUUUUUUAAUGUUUUUUUGUGAAUUGGUGUGAGUUUGCUGAGAAAUUUUGAAUUUUUUUGCAUGGUUUGUCUGUGAAUUUUGGGGGAAAAGUUUGGAUUUUUGUUGUGCGGAGGUGUAGAAAUGGCUGCUGCUGGGGAAGAAGAGGUUGAGUAUGAAAGUGAUCCAGAGGAGGCGAAGCGGUUGCUGAGGAUGCGAAGGAGAGAGGCUAGCGAUGAUGAAGAUGAGGAGGAGAGAGAGAGGCCGCUGAGGAGGAUUGAUUCUAGGGCUGCAAUUGGGUCCGAUGGGGAAUCGGAUGGUCAGGGUGCAGCGGCGGAGUAUGAUGACGAAGAAUCGGAGAUAGAGGAAGAAGAGUUGGAGGAGGUGGAGGUGGAGGCUGAUGUGGUGGAAGAGGCAGAGCAUGAGGUGAGAGGAGGCAAAGACAGUGUCGAAAUUGGCAGCGAGGAUGAGAAGGAAUUGGAUGGGGAUGCACCGAGAUCGGUUGGGGAGUCAAUGGAGCUUCUUCAGGGUGUGAAUCAGGUUGAAGAGGAGAAGAAAGAGAAUGAGCCAUUUGCAGUGCCAACAGCUGGUGCUUUCUAUAUGCAUGAUGAUAGGUUUCGAGACAAUGCCGGUGGUGGUCGACACAGGCGGACACUUGGUGAAAGGAAGUUGUGGGAGUCAAAAGACGAUAGGAAAUGGGGGCAUGACAAGUUUGAGGAGAUGACUCUCCAAGAAAGGCGCUAUGAAAAGGGUACAAGGAACUCUAGAGGUCAUUAUCGACCUCGUGGAAAAAAUCGAGGUGCAGAUCGAGGAUUUCCUAGAGUAAACAAGUCUAAAGCAUAUGACAAUAACACUCAGAACCAUGCACCCAAGGGUUUUAGAGGAAGAGGCCCUAGAAGGUAUGAACCUUCUAGAAACAACAGUGAAGCACCUCAAACACAACUCAGAAAUAGAUCUGGGAAGUCAAUUGAGAAAACUCUGCAUGUUACUUCUGGGAGAGCACCUAUGGCCACAUCAAAUUCGGAAUCCAAUCCAGUUCCUGCUAGAAAACAAGUGUUUGCAUCAAGCUUGAAUUAUGCUUCCCCUCCAUUCUAUCCUUCUCUCUCGUCCAAUAAAGAAACCACUUUGACACAGAACAAGGAUGUACAAGCUGGAACUACCAACAGGAACCUUCGGUCUGCUGUUAUGGAUGAAAAUUUUUCUGUGUCUCAGUCCAAUACAAUGAUGCGAGGAAAGGAUGUAGUUGAUUCCAUUGGCAUGGAAAAGCUUUAUAUCAAUGAUUCCGUUUCUCCAGUUGCUGGAAAGCCUUCAACCAGCUUGCAGUUGCCACUUUCCAGACCUUCUUUAGUCAAUAAUACCCAACCUCUUCGACCAAGGGCUCAGGGAAGAAAUCUAGUGCCCUCUGGGCAGAUGACUUGUCAACCAGGAGCACCUCAUAGCCAAGUCACUAGAGCUUCUCCACCAAACCAACUCCACACUGUGCAGCGAAAUCCUGUUCAAAGCCGAGUUCAACCUUCUUUUCAAGCUUCUGUUCAGUCUCCUGGUAGUGGAUCUCAAACUACAUCUCCACCAAAAGCAGCUUUGUCAAUAAAUUAUUUUGAACCUGGAGAAUUGGAAUCUCCUCCAGAAUCAAGUAAAUCAAAGAAUGCAUCGAUUGGAAAAGGAAAAGGCAGUGUUCAAGGUAGCGGAAGGGGCUCUUUUCUGUAUGGUGGCACUCAGGUUAUGGGAGCCUCUGGGAAUAUGGGCAGUGGUCACGGUGAUCAGAACUUUCCUGGAACUCCAGCCUUCUUGCCAGUAAUGCCGUUUAGUGGCCAGCAUUCUGGUGGCAUGGGAGUUCCUGCUGUUGGUAUGGCCUUCCCUGGUUAUGUUGCUCAACCCCAACUUGGGUUGGGAAAUUCGGAGAUGACAUGGCUACCAGUUUUGGCUGGUGCUGCAGGAGCUUUGGGGACGACAUAUUGUUCACCUUAUAUUGCCGUCGAUGGUGCUUAUCACUCCCGUCCAUCAGGGAAGACAUCUUCAUCAGAAGCUUCUAGCAAAGAAGACAAUACAAAUAAACCAAAUAACGAAUGGAAGGCUUCACAGAGACCCGAGGUUGCGAGUGAGGAGUUUGGUCAACGGCAAAAAAAUACUCGCAGAUAUACAGAGAUGAAUUUUGGUCAGUGAAGUACUUAGAUUGAUCAAGCCUAUUUGAAUAAGCAGAUAGAGGCCUACGUACAGGCCCUUUGUGAUCUUCAGUAUUUGUUCUGGAGCACUUUGGGCCGCAGUAUAUUCCAUGAUAUUCUAGGUAUAUACGACAAACGCCUGAUCAUGCUGUGGUCAUUUGUGAGGAAAACAUUGCAGCCUGAUGGGUGGUAGUUCUUUGUGAAAAUGUGCGGUUUUCCUGUGGCUUCAUUUUUUUUUAUGAAGCUUGUGAGGAUUGUUGGUGGGCUUCUUCCAAAAUUAAAUAAUUAAAAAAAUAAAAUAAAAUGAAAAGAACAGAGUGAGUGUAGUAUUGUGCAGCUGCUGUUUGCUUAAUGAAGUUUUGAACUUCUCUGUCCUCAAGGGAUGAUUGGUUUUCCAUGGGGUUUAAUUCAUCCAUGGUGGCCUUAAGUUUCAAGUUGCUUGGUCAUUGUCACAGUUUGAGGGGUAACUUAAAUGUUUGGGAUUUUUCUUAUUUAAGUUUGAAAUAUUUGUCAACACAUCAUGGGUUAGAGAGCUACAUUUGUUGAAAAGGACUGUUUUUAAGGUCGUUGCGGUGGUUGUAUUGUAAUGAGUUUUAUGAAUGUUCUUGUGAACUUUUGAUUAACUGCUGCUUUCUAGGCAAUGGAAUAUGUUUGAAUUACAAAGUAUCUUGAAAA